rnacentral:rRNA from 1 species
ACACUUAAGGUGCGGAGCCGUAGCGAAAGCGAGUUUUAACUGAGCGUUCAGUUACUUGACGUAGACCCGAAACCGGGCGACCUACCCAUGAGCAGGAUGAAGCGAAAGUAAAAUUUCGUGGAGGUCCGAACCCACGAGCGUUGAAAAGCUCGGGGAUGACUUGUGGGUAGCGGUGAAAUUCCAAUCGAGCCCGGAGAUAGCUGGUUCUCCCCGAAAUAGCUUUAGGGCUAGCCUCAAGGUGAGAGAUACGGAGGUAGAGCACUGAAUGUCCUAGGGGGUAUUGCACCUACCGAAGACUAUCAAACUCCGAAUGCCGUCAUCUUAUACUUGGGAGUCAGACUGUGGGUGAUAAGAUUCAUAGUCGAAAGGGCAACAGCCCAGAUCGUCAGCUAAGGUCCCUAAAUGUAAGUUAAGUGGUAAAGGAUGUGGGAUUGCACAGACAACCAGGAUGUUGGCUUAGAAGCAGCCACUCAUUCAAAGAGUGCGUAAUAGCUCACUGGUCGAGUGAUCCUGCGCCGAAGAUUUCCGGGGCUAAAACUUACUACCGAAGCUACGGCAUCAGUAAUGAUGGGUAGGGGAGCUUCCCAUACGGGUUGAAGCAUGACCGUAAGGACAUGUGGACAGUAUGGGAGUGAGAAUGUUGGCAUGAGUAGCGAGAUGUGGGUGAGAAUCCCACAGGCCGUAAACCCAAGGUUUCCAGGGGAAGGUUCGUCCGCCCUGGGUUAGUCGGGACCUAAGCUGAGGCCGAAAGGCGUAGGUGAUGGACAACAGGUUGAU